UCGUUAAUCUCCGACCUCAGUGCGUUCAAGACAACUGGGAACUCAUUCAUCUCCGACUUCAGUGCAUUCAAGACAACAGGGAACUCGGAAAAACGAACCCCGACUGGGAAAAAUAUUUUUCUAACGGUCAUCCAACUCGGAAUGCCAACUCGGGAACUAGGGCCUCUUUCUAUAGCUCUGACUUUCCGACCUGAAGAUCAAUUAUUCCAUGACUUGACCUCGUAUUUUUCCGAGUUCCCAGUUGUCUUGAAAGCACCAAUGGAUCAGAGAAACGUGCCAGUGGGUACCAGCAAGCACACCAGCACAGCGGGAUCAAGUGUUGCAAUGCAACGGGUGUCCAGGGGCGCAAACGACAUCGAUUUGGCCAGCUAGAUACUGUAUUGAUUGGUGGGCUGGAGGUCAGUGCUGUGGAGCAGCUGCGUUUUGUGCGUCCGAAGUUUGUGGAAAAUGUGUCAGAACCUACUAUUAAACGUCUCCUAGAUGGGCUGCUGCAGAAGAAAGUGGUCAAUGAUUACGAAAAAGACUCCGUGAAUGUGAUCGCUGAGAGGGCAGACAAGGCACGUGCCAUCAUCGACAUGGUGCUGAAGAAAGGAAUUAAUGCAUGUCUGAUUUUAAAAACACUUCUGUGUGAAUUUGAUAAAUUUUUAUUCUCAGAACUGUGUUUGAGCUAGAACAUUGUUGGAGUAUGAGACAGCCUGUUAAAAAUGGCCAUGACCCAGCAUGAGUGUACCAGACUAUCACUGUACUCUGUAUAUUGUGUGACUAAUCUCUGUUAACAAUGUUCCUUUAGGGAAAGUAUUCAUGUUUGGAUCAUGUUUUAGAGUGUCUGCUAAAUUACGAAAAAUGUACAUGUAAAAAUGUAAAGUACAUAAUCCACAUGGAAGAUGUCAAAAUGACUACUCUCGUGGUAUAUGUGUGCUAGAGAAAAAAAAGAAAAGUGUCAACAUGCACUCGACACGUGAUUACUUCCUGGCUGCCAUUUUGUACAUUGUUAUAGUCCAGCCAGCCAAAUGGACCAUAUUUAAAGGGAUUGAUAUUUAUUGAUAUUUUAGCUUUUUGUUUGUAAACUUAUGUUUGUGAAUUAAAAGCCUCCAUUAUUAUAAUUUUUUAUUUUCUUAAAAUAUAUCCUAGUUUUUAUUGUUUGAUGCUUUGUGUUUAUGGAUAUGUUGACAGAACUGUAAAAAGUAAAAACCAUGACAUUGUCACGCCCUGGUCGAAGUAUGUUGUGUUUAUCUUCAUGUAUUGGGUCAGGCCAGGGUGUGGCAUGGGGUUUUUGUAUUGUGGUGUGUUUUGUCUUGGGGUUUUGGUGUUGCUAUUGGGAUUAUAGCUUAGUGGGGUAUCUAGCAAAGUCUAUGGCUGUCUGGAGUGGUUCUCAAUCAGAGGCAGGUGUUUAUCGUUGUCUCUGACUGGGAACCAUAUUUAGGCAGCCAUAUUCUUUGAGUUUGUGGUGGGUGAUUGUCCUUAGUGUCUUUGUUCCUGUCGCUGUGUUAGUUGACACAAGUAUAGGCUGUUUCGGUUUUCGUUACGUUUAUUGUUUUGUAGUGUAUUGUAUUGAUUCGUGUUUUACGUUUGUUGAUUAAACAUGGAUCGCAAUCUA